rnacentral:rRNA from 1 species
UACGUAGGGGGCAAGCGUUGUCCGGAAUCAUUGGGCGUAAAGAGCGCGUAGGCGGCUUGUCGCGUCGUCCGUGAAAACCUGGGGCUCAACUCCAGGCUUGCGGUCGAUACGGGCAGGCUCGAGUUCGGUAGGGGAGACUGGAAGUUCCUGGUGUAGCGGUGAAAUGACGCAGAUAUCAGGAGGAACACCGGUGGCGAAGGCGGGUCUCUGGGCCGAUACUGACGCUGAGGAGCGAAAGCGUGGGGAGCGAACAGG